ensembl:lncRNA
UGAGAAGCUCAGGACAGCAGAGGAGACGUGGUGAGCUCCUGAUGAAGACUGUGUGUGUGUGUGUGUGUGUGUGCCCACUCAUGCUCUUCUGUCUCUAUAGCCAAGAUGUGACACCUGCUGAAUCACCAGUGAGAUUCACCUGAGUCAUUUAGCAAAGAUAAAUAGAGGCUUCAGCAGCAGCGAGACACACAGAACACUCAAGCUUCACUGACGCUUGUGUUUCACUCAAAGCACGCUUGAAAGUCAUUAGAAACAGCCAGAGCUGCUGAUGAGUCAUGAUGAUCUUCACUCAUUAGUGCUGUUCCCUACAUACUGAACCUGAGAAAGAGCGCAAGAGAAUAGCCAGAAUCCCUUCUGAGAACUCCAGCUGUUAUGAAUGAGACGGACACAAUCGGCAGCUGGAAUCACGCACUAAACUCCUACAACAACUGCCAAAGAUAAAGAUUCUGUCAUCAUUUGCUCCCCCUCAUGUUGGUCAAAACUGUAUGACUUUCAUUUUUCAGUGUCGCUGAGAAGAACAUUCAAGCUGCUCUGUUACAUAACACUUUAUAUUGAUAGUCCACAUCAGACAUUCUUAUAACUAUACUAAUAUAACUUAAUGUUACUUGCUAUGUAGUUGUAAAUAAAUGUAAGUUGCUAUGCAAUUGUAAAUAAAUGUUAGUUGACAUUUAGUUGAUAAUGAAUGUUAGUUGACAUGUAGUUGUAAAUUAAUGCUAGUUGCUAUGUAGCUGUAAAUUGUUAGUUCCCAUGCAGUUGUAAAUUAAUAUUAGUUGACAUGUAGUUGUAAAUUAAUGUUAGUUGACAUGUAGUUGUAAAUUAAUGUUAGUUGACAUGUAGUUGCAAAUUAAUUUUAGUUGCCAUGUAGUUGCAAAUUAAUGUUAGUUACCAUGCAGUUGUAAGUUAAUGUUAGUUGACGUAGUUGCAAAUUAAUGUUAGUUUCCAUGCAGUUGUAAAUUAAUGUUAGUUGACAUGUAGUUGUAAAUUAAUGUUAGUUGACAUGUAGUUGUAAGUUAAUGUUAGUUGACGUAGUUGUAAAUUAAUGUUAGCUGACAUAUAGUUGUAAAUUAAUGUUAGUUGACAUGUAGUUGUAAAUUAAUGUUAGUUGCCAUGCAGUUGUAAAUUAAUGUUAGUUGACAUAGUUGUAAAUUAAUGUUAGUUGACAUAGUUUUGUAAAUGAAUAAAUGUUAGUUAACAUUUAGUUGUAAAUGAAUGUU